UUUAUUUGAAUAACAAAGUAUCGUCAUAAAAACCUGUCAAUAUAACCCAAUACAAUUCAACAGCACCACAAACUACAGCUUCCAAACGACCAUAAAGU